CCUACGGGAGGCAGCAGUGGGGAAUAUUGGACAAUGGGCGAAAGCCUGAUCCAGCCAUGCCGCGUGUGUGAAGAAGGCCUUCGGGUUGUAAAGCACUUUCAGUGGGGAAGAAAGCCUUGGGGCUAAUACCCUCGAGGAAGGACAUCACCCACAGAAGAAGCACCGGCUAACUCCGUGCCAGCAGCCGCGGUAAUACGGAGGGUGCGAGCGUUAAUCGGAAUUACUGGGCGUAAAGCGCGCGUAGGCGGUCUGAUAAGCCGGUUGUGAAAGCCCCGGGCUCAACCUGGGAACGGCAUCCGGAACUGUCAGGCUAGAGUGCAGGAGAGGAAGGUAGAAUUCCCGGUGUAGCGGUGAAAUGCGUAGAGAUCGGGAGGAAUACCAGUGGCGAAGGCGGCCUUCUGGACUGACACUGACGCUGAGGUACGAAAGCGUGGGUAGCAAACAGGAUUAGAUACCCGGGUAGUC
rnacentral:rRNA from 1 species